rnacentral:lncRNA from 13 species
AUUUGGGACUAAAUAAAUGGCACUGCUGCACAAUUCAUAUCUUUUCUCCCCUUACACUGGCCCUACUUUGUUGAUUUGUGUAACCUACAGAGCCCCUUGUAGACAUCUCAGUGUGAGACCUCUAUCCCUUUUUCCGAAAAGUUCUCUCCUUCCAUCCAUGAUGGCUGAGUCGAUUCUCAGACUAGUUCCAAUGUAUUCCCUUGAUGUAAUCAUCAGAUCUGUCUUCCCUCGGCACCUUACUAGGGGAUGCUUCCCCUUCUCUACGACUAGGUACAAUUUCCAACCCAGACUUCGAUCCGACAUUUUCAUACAUUCUCCUCAGAUUAUAGUAGUUUACAAAAUCUUAUCAUUUCUGUGUACUUUUCUAGGUCCUAAGAACUGUUUCUCCUGGAAUAACCUGUUGUCACUCCCUGAUCGGACAGAACAAAUGCACUAGGAUUUGAAUUUCUCAAAGAUGCGUUAUUCAUUUUUAUACUUGGUACCAAAUUCAAAUAUCUGCCUUAUUAUUGGGUCCAACGUACUUGAUCACGGAGACGGUAUCAUCUUAAUUACUAUGUUUACACCUACGAGACACAAAGUCUUAUGCAUAAACUGUAUCAUGAAUAUUUCAUAAACAAAUGUCAAAAGAAGAAACUGAAAAGCUCAUAUGGUCUUAAUCUUACUAAACAUUAGGAGGCAAUGUACAUUAAUGAAAUGAACUGAAAUUACCAUCUCGCACACUUAUAUUUGCUCUGCGACUUCCUCCCAUUGUGCAUCCAUUUCCAGAGGCUAAAUAAUAAAUCACACAACAGAAAAAUGCA